GGGGGAAGCUGGCCCAUUGGUGUUGGCUGAAGGCGCUAACGGUGUUGGAUAACCGUUGGAGUUGGGGAACAGCGGCACUUGCCUACCUCUACCGGCAGUUGGACGAAGCUUGUCGCAGAACUGGGAGCAGGACUGGGAGCGGCGGUAUUGGUGGAUGCAUGCUCCUACUUUCCGUAUGGAGCUGGGACCGCCUAUCAGUUGGGCGGCCUAGGGUACUCAACGAGAGGCCAUGGCCUCAUUACCCUCACUCUCCUGAUCGGGAGCCCACUUGGGCAUACCUUUGGGACAAUGUCUCGGAGAUGUCGGGCGAUCCAAAGAUCAUGUACAUGCAGUACACUGCGGAGUUGGACACUCUUACCGCUGAGCAGGUGGAAUGGGAGCCAUAUGGUAGCUACUACCGUAUUGGCGCGUCGAUGAC